rnacentral:rRNA from 1 species
CACGUAGGGGACGAGCGUUGUCCGGAUUCAUUGGGCGUAAAGCGCGCGUAGGCGGCUCGGAAAGUCGGGCGUGAAAGUCCAGGGCUCAACCCUGGGAUGCCGGUGGAUACUGUCGAGCUCGAGUCCGGAAGAGGCGAGUGGAAUUCCUGGUGUAGCGGUGAAAUGCGCAGAUAUCAGGAGGAACACCAAUGGCGAAGGCAGCUCGCUGGGACGUGACUGACGCUGAGACGCGAAAGCGUGGGGAGCAAACAGG